rnacentral:rRNA from 1 species
UAGGGAAUCUUCCACAAUGGGCGAAAGCCUGAUGGAGCAACGCCGCGUGUGUGAUGAAGGCUUUCGGGUCGUAAAGCACUGUUGUAUGGGAAGAACAGCUAGAAUAGGAAAUGAUUUUAGUUUGACGGUACCAUACCAGAAAGCCACGGCUAACUACGUGCCAG